GAGAGGAACGCGAAGCAAGAAGAAUGGUUCAGUGAACUCCAGUCAACGUAGUUGAUGGGACUACAAGAAAAAGAAGAAGAAUUCAUUUUCUUUUCCUGACGGCGCCUGCUAAUUAUAGCCGUAUUCCUCUGGUGGAAGAGCGUAUUACGUACUAUCAUCAUUAUCAUCAUACUUUAGAGCGUGCGAAUUCUGGCUCCUGCUGUAGGAGCAGAUAAAGUACGAAAAUCACAUCUCUAACUCAUCAAAAAUGCAUCAUCCUAUGAGAUUAUUCAUAUGAAGACUCCUCCCGGCCUCUCUUUUGUUACAAUCGGUUUACUUUGAGUGAAUUCAGCGUGAUUAAAGUGCAAAGCACUUUGCUCUAAAUCCGAAAUCAUGUAGAAUCUUCGAAAGGCGUGUGUGUGUGUGUGUCUGACUGCAUGGAAUAAAGAGAAAAGACUUCGUGAUAUCCGAUUCUAGAUAAUUUAUUGAUAAAAAUGGUAUUCUUUGUCCAGUCUAUAUAGGCACUAAAGGAGAAACAUUUAUGAUGUUAUGGGCAUGAUGCUAUCUGAUAAUGGACAUUGUGAAGAGUAUUUCAUAGUAUAUUAAUCCAUCAUGAUUCAUAAUCAUGUCUAAUUGAUGCAGUGAGAUAAAAAUGGGGAGAGCUGAGGCAUCAGCGAAGAAGUUAAAUCAAUACACAGAAUAUAAUAUAUAUUAUUUCAUGAUCAUAUUGUUUCUUCAAAAAGAGACCCAGGUAAUAAAACAAUUUUCUCCAUUAUAUUACCUACAUAAUAUGCAAAGGCGGAAAUGUCGUUGACUGGAUUGUGAAUCCAAUUACGAACAAUAAAAGAGAGGAAAAUAAAUCAUCACUCUGUUAGACUUGGAAGGUUUUGUACUACAUCGUUGAAUGUUCAUAUAAAUCACAUAUUAUAUACAAAGUAAGAAUUAAUUCCACUUAUAAGAAUCUGAGGAACUUU
rnacentral:lncRNA from 1 species